CUCUGGUCAUUAUUUUGGAUUGUGAAGCAACUACAUUUUAUGUUGCUCCAUAAAUUCUGAAAUUUUAUGAGGACAUUCUCCUACCUACAAAACAUCUCUCAACCAAUUUUGAGCUCAUUUUAUUUAGCCAGUUAUUCCCAGUAAUUCUCCUAAGAUUCUGUCCAGCACGAUGCUGUGUGAAGGAAGUAUCACUUUGGUUUAUCCAGAUGAUAUGAAAUUUAAACAGCAUCUUCAUAACCCUAAAUUAUUUAUCUCCUACAAGUUUCAGAUCCAUCCAAGCAAGUAUGUGAGUGCCACUUCAUACUUUGCAAUUCUGUCCAGAAGAGCCCUUUGUACUGCAAGUGCUAUUUAUAUUCUUUCAAAUGAGCUGGAAAUUUGCAGAAAUGAUCAUCCUGGCAUCUGAUCAUCCUCAGCCAAAAACCACAGCCUUUCCUUACGUUGAUCUCCCCCGCCCCACUCCAAACAGCUUGUUGUUAAAUCAUGUUUGAGCACCUUUCUUCCUCCCCACAGCCCUCUAGUUGAUUCUACCCUCGCCUCUUAUCCAUCUGAGCAGUGGUAGGUUUGUUUGACAUGGAGUGAGGAGCAGUGGCACACCAGAGCACGUAGUGCACGUGGUGAUCAUGCUGAGAGCAAGCCAAAAUGGCGCUCUAUGCAUUGACGGCGACGGGAGCACCUCUCCAGCAAGCUCCGGCUUGUCCGCGAGCGUUAGAGAGCUCCCCACCGCACACGUGUGCCCUCCGGAGUCUUCUCCCCCUCGUCGCCUAGCCUGUGGUCGGCCCCGACGCCCUGUUGCAACGCGGUAACUGAGUCGCCGUCUCGGAGCUUCGGCUACCGUCGCGAAGAGCUUCCCCGGGCCUAUAUAAGGUGUGCCCCAAGAUCUCCUCCGACCUACGACCUCCCAACCCUCUUCCUCGAGCUCCGGGAGCUCUUCUGUUCCACACACGGACAUCCUAUGCCACCGUCGAUCUCGCCUUGAUACCGGCAGCCAGAGGCUCCUCUCCACUCCCUAGCCCCUCCAUCUCUUUCCCUGGAUGUCGGUGAGCCUUUUCCCCUUUUUAGCUCGCCGUCGGAGCGUCCCUAGCGCCAGGAGCCACCGGAGACACCGACAGUCACGACCGACCCGCAGCUUCCCCGCCACCUUGGCCAGCUCAUCCCUCCCGCCUCAGGCGUUCCCGGGACGCAGCGCUUUCCGGAAUGCACUCCCGACCGCUCGCCGGUCGGAGUAGCUCGCCGGAGCAGCGGCCCCCUCACCGGCCGAGCCCUGCCUGGCCUCCUCUAUUUCUCCUGUCGGGAGGAGGAAGGAGAUAAGGAGGGAGGAAAGAGACACGGGAAAGGGUCAACGCGGGCCCCACCUGUAAGUGACCAGAAACCGGCCCCGCCACUGCCCACGUUGAUAAGUGGAGGCGCCCGGCUCUAAAUAUGUUCCCCCUCUGGGAAACGUAUUCCACCAAAGACGCUUCCUGUUUUUCAGCCAAAGACCUGUCUGUGAAUAAACGUUUUACAGAUUAGUCCCUAGACUUCAAAUGUCCAUAUCUCCGCGAUCCUAACUCCGAUUCCAGUGAUUCCAAAGCCCAUGUCUUCGUCUCGCCGAGCCCGUCAUGAUAGUAACAUUUUCACUAUGUGUCCACACAGUGGAAAUGAUCAUGCUGCUCUUGCCCAUAAACAGCUCCUCUGAGGGAGAACUGUUUCCGGCAAUUCCUUCCGCGAGCUUCUCGCAUUUCUUCCCGGUGGAUCCCUCAUCCCAGGCAAGCCACAACUCUCAUUUGCUUAAUUUCAUUGCAAUAUCAUAGUUUAAUUAACUAUUUUAAUCACAAGUACAUCUAUUUAUAAGAAGUCGAAGAAAGAAGAUGGCGUCUCCCUCCCACCUCCCAGGGCGGCGACCCAAUGGCGAUCUGGAACUCUAGCCGGCACCUCCUCCAUCCUCGCCACCCCUCUGCUCAGUUUGCAGGUCAUGCCAUGAUUGCUUGUUUGUCGAGGCUUCUGAGUUGCGUGCUAGGAUGCGCGUUCCAGCCAGAGUCCGUGCGGAGUGCAGUUCAUCACAUCCGUUGUUGUUCCGCUGCUAGUGUAGGAUUUACCGUAGGCAAGUGUAGUAUCGCCAAGGUGGUGUAAUCCAUGUACCCUUGUAAUAUUUUCCAUAUUAACAAAGAGCUAGUUUGUUCUAUGCCAACGGUGCCGUAUUAUAGAAGACUUGUCCUUGGGA